GGUGGUAUAGCCAAGUGGUAAGGCAAGGGAUUGCAAAUCCUUUAUUCCCCAGUUCGAAUCUGGGUACCACCU
rnacentral:tRNA from 4 species